rnacentral:rRNA from 1 species
AGCGAACGCUGGCGGUAGGCCUAACACAUGCAAGUCGAACGGCAGCACAGUAAGAGCUUGCUCUUACGGGUGGCGAGUGGCGGACGGGUGAGGAAUACAUCGGAAUCUACUUUUUCGUGGGGGAUAACGUAGGGAAACUUACGCUAAUACCGCAUACGACCUACGGGUGUAAGCAGUGGAACUUCGGACCUUGCGCGAUUGAAUGAGCCGAUGUCGGAUUAGCUAGUUGGCGGGGUAAAGGCCCACCAAGGCGACGAUCCGUAGCUGGUCUGAGAGGAUGAUCAGCCACACUGGAACGGAGACACGGUCCAGACUCCUACGGGAGGCAGCAGUGGGGAAUAUUGGACAAUGGGCGCAAGCCUGAUCCAGCCAUACCGCGUGGGUGAAGAAGGCCUUCGGGUUGUAAAGCCCUUUUGUUGGGAAAGAAAAGCAGCAGGUUAAUACCCCGCUGUUCUGACGGUACCCAAAGAAUAAGCACCGGCUAACUUCGUG